UGGAAAUUGGGCUCUUGGCAAGAUUGCCUUUUUCUUGUGGUUUACUAAGGUUUGUAAACUGACACUCAGGUCCUGUGAUCUCUAUUAGUUCAACCAUUUGUUUUCUGUUCUUUCUUUUGUUCUUGGGCAGCCAGGAGUGCCUGAGGACUGUCACACCCGUCCCCCCGGGACAUGUUAGCUUGUGCUUUGCCCUCAGCUUGCCUUAUGCUCCCUCUUCAAUUUCUGUGCCCGCUGUGGGGCUCGAACUCAAGACCCUGAGAUCAAGAGUCCCAUGCCCUACCAACUGAGCCAGCCAGACAUCGGGAUCACAAUAUAACAGUCCUGGGUUAGCCAGCAUCUGAGAUGAAAAUUCAGAGGCCAGCGUCUCCCAGGAAGAGUUAAGUGAUGUGUAUGCAGGCGGCGUGUCCUCUUCAUCGGGCUGUGUUCUGGCAGACAGGCCCCCUGGGCCACGGAGGAAGAGGACCAGGGGACCCAGGUGGAUCCUUGCACUGAGGACAACACAAAUCCUAGUAAGCCGACCUCCCUGCAGCCAGAGGUCAUUUCUGCCUCCCCUCCCCCUGCCCCAACCCUGGAGGAAAAGCAGAAGGUGAGGACACCGGGGUGGGGAGGUGCCCAGUGCUGUCUGAAGUUGGCCUACCAGCAACACGAGGUAAGAGGCCCAGGGAUGGGCAUGUUCAAGGCCGGAGGGUGAGUCUGCCCUGGCCCCGGGCAGAUCCGGGGAGUCGCCGGGCUGGGUGUCUGCAGAGCAGUGCUCCUCAGAUGUUCU
rnacentral:lncRNA from 1 species